AUGUCUGGUCCUAGGAUUGCUCAUGCUACCUUGAAGGGUCCAAGUGUUGUAAAGGAGAUAAUAAUUGGAAUAACACUUGGUAUAGCUGCUGGUGGUCUCUGGAAGAUGCAUCACUGGAAUGAACAGAAAAAGACCAGGACCUUUUACGAUUUAUUGGAAAAGGGUGAGAUUAGUGUUAUUGCAGAGGAAGAGUAA